rnacentral:rRNA from 1 species
GAUGAACGCUGGCGGCGUGCCUAAUACAUGCGAGUCGAGCGAACAGACGAGAGUGCUUGCACUCUCUGACGUUAGCGGCGGACGGGUGAGUAACACGUGGGUAACCUACCUAUAAGACUGGGAUAACUUCGGGAAACCGGAGCUAAUACCGGAUAAUAUUUAGCUUCGCAUGUAGCAAUAGUGAAAGACGGUUCUGCUGUCACUUAUAGAUGGACCCGCGGUGUAUUAGCUAGUUGGUGAGGUAACGGCUCACCAAGGCAACGAUACAUAGCCGACCUGAGAGGGUGAUCGGCCACACUGGGACUGAGACACGGCCCAGACUCCUACGGGAGGCAGCAGUAGGGAAUCUUCCGCAAUGGACGAAAGUCUGACGGAGCAAUGCCGCGUGAGUGAAGAAGGUUUUCGGAUCGUAAAACUCUGUUGUAAGGGAAGAACAAGUACGUUAGUAACUGAACGUACCUUGACGGUACCUUACCAGAAAGCCACGGCUAACUACGUG